CUACGGGUUGCAGCAGUCGAGAAGCUUCGGCAAUGGACGAAAGUCUGACCGAGCGACGCCGCGUGAGCGAUGAAGGUCCUAGUGAUCGUAAAGCUCUGUCAGGAGGGAAUAAAUGCCUGUGGUGAAUACCCGCAGGAGUUGAAGGUACCUCCAGAGGAAGCGCCGGCUAACUACGUGCCAGGCAGCCGCGGUAAUACGUAGGGCGCAAACGUUGUUCGGAUUUACUGGGUUUAAAGGGUUCGUAGGCGGGCUGAUAAGUCAGAGGUGAAAGCCAACGGCUCAACCGUUGAAUGGCCUCUGAUACUGUCAGUCUUGAGUCCGUUAGGGGAUAGUGGAAUUCCUGGUGUAGCGGUGAAAUGCGUAAAUAUCAGGAGGAACACCAGUGGCGAAGGCGGCUAUCUGGGACGGAACUGACGCUGAGGAACGAAAGCUAGGGUAUCAAACGGGAUUAGAUACCCCCGUAGUC
rnacentral:rRNA from 1 species